rnacentral:rRNA from 1 species
CAUCCUCCAAGGCUAAAUACUCCUGACUGACCGAUAGUGAACCAGUACCGUGAGGGAAAGGCGAAAAGAACCCCGGCGAGGGGAGUGAAAAAGAACCUGAAACCGUGUACGUACAAGCAGUGGGAGCCUCUUAAUGGGGUGACUGCGUACCUUUUGUAUAAUGGGUCAGCGACUUAUAUUCUGUAGCAAGGUUAACCGAAUAGGGGAGCCGAAGGGAAACCGAGUCUUAACUGGGCGUUAAGUUGCAGGGUAUAGACCCGAAACCCGGUGAUCUAGCCAUGGGCAGGUUGAAGGUUGGGUAACACUAACUGGAGGACCGAACCGACUAAUGUUGAAAAAUUAGCGGAUGACUUGUGGCUGGGGGUGAAAGGCCAAUCAAACCGGGAGAUAGCUGGUUCUCCCCGAAAGCUAUUUAGGUAGCGCCUCGUGAAUUCAUCUCCGGGGGUAGAGCACUGUUUCGGCAAGGGGGUCAUCCCGACUUACCAACCCGAUGCAAACUGCGAAUACCGGAGAAUGUUAUCACGGGAGACACACGGCGGGUGCUAACGUCCGUCGUGAAGAGGGAAACAACCCAGACCGCCAGCUAAGGUCCCAAAGUCAUGGUUAAGUGGGAAACGAUGUGGGAAGGCCCAGACAGCCAGGAUGUUGGCUUAGAAGCAGCCAUCAUUUAAAGAAAGCGUAAUAGCUCACUGGUCGAGUCGGCCUGCGCGGAAGAUGUAACGGGGCUAAACCAUGCACCGAAGCUGCGGCAGCGACACUAUGUGUUGUUGGGUAGGGGAGCGUUCUGUAAGCCUGUGAAGGUGGCCUGUGAGGGUUGCUGGAGGUAUCAGAAGUGCGAAUGCUGACAUAAGUAACGAUAAAGCGGGUGAAAAGCCCGCUCGCCGGAAGACCAAGGGUUCCUGUCCAACGUUAAUCGGGGCAGGGUGAGUCGACCCCUAAGGCGAGGCCGAAAGGCGUAGUCGAUGGGAAACAGGUUAAUAUUCCUGUACUUGGUGUUACUGCGAAGGGGGGACGGAGAAGGCUAUGUUGGCCGGGCGACGGUUGUCCCGGUUUAAGCGUGUAGGCUGGUUUUCCAGGCAAAUCCGGAAAACCAAGGCUGAGGCGUGAUGACGAGGCACUACGGUGCUGAAGCGACAAAUGCCCUGCUUCCAGGAAAAGCCUCUAAGCAUCAGGUAACAUCAAAUCGUACCCCAAACCGACACAGGUGGUCAGGUAGAGAAUACCAAGGCGCUUGAGAGAACUCGGGUGAAGGAACUAGGCAAAAUGGUGCCGUAACUUCGGGAGAAGGCACGCUGAUAUGUAGGUGAAGCGACUUGCUCGUGGAGCUGAAAUCAGUCGAAGAUACCAGCUGGCUGCAACUGUUUAUUAAAAACACAGCACUGUGCAAACACGAAAGUGGACGUAUACGGUGUGACGCCUGCCCGGUGCCGGAAGGUUAAUUGAUGGGGUUAGCGGCAACGCGAAGCUCUUGAUCGAAGCCCCGGUAAACGGCGGCCGUAACUAUAACGGUCCUAAGGUAGCGAAAUUCCUUGUCGGGUAAGUUCCGACCUGCACGAAUGGCGUAAUGAUGGCCAGGCUGUCUCCACCCGAGACUCAGUGAAAUUGAACUCGCUGUGAAGAUGCAGUGUACCCGCGGCAAGACGGAAAGACCCCGUGAACCUUUACUAUAGCUUGACACUGAACAUUGAGCCUUGAUGUGUAGGAUAGGUGGGAGGCUUUGAAGUGUGGACGCCAGUCUGCAUGGAGCCGACCUUGAAAUACCACCCUUUAAUGUUUGAUGUUCUAACGUUGGCCCGUAAUCCGGGUUGCGGACAGUGUCUGGUGGGUAGUUUGACUGGGGCGGUCUCCUCCUAAAGAGUAACGGAGGAGCACGAAGGUUGGCUAAUCCUGGUCGGACAUCAGGAGGUUAGUGCAAUGGCAUAAGCCAGCUUGACUGCGAGCGUGACGGCGCGAGCAGGUGCGAAAGCAGGUCAUAGUGAUCCGGUGGUUCUGAAUGGAAGGGCCAUCGCUCAACGGAUAAAAGGUACUCCGGGGAUAACAGGCUGAUACCGCCCAAGAGUUCAUAUCGACGGCGGUGUUUGGCACCUCGAUGUCGGCUCAUCACAUCCUGGGGCUGAAGUAGGUCCCAAGGGUAUGGCUGUUCGCCAUUUAAAGUGGUACGCGAGCUGGGUUUAGAACGUCGUGAGACAGUUCGGUCCCUAUCUGCCGUGGGCGCUGGAGAACUGAGGGGGGCUGCUCCUAGUACGAGAGGACCGGAGUGGACGCAUCACUGGUGUUCGGGUUGUCAUGCCAAUGGCACUGCCCGGUAGCUAAAUGCGGAAGAGAUAAGUGCUGAAAGCAUCUAAGCACGAAACUUGCCCCGAGAUGAGUUCUCCCUGACUCCUUGA